GAAAUGUUACCCGAACAUGCCUUAAGAUUGAUGACUCAGUUCACCAUAAACUCACAACAGGUGACAAAGUCACAUUGUGCAAGAACCUACUUCUGCAACAAUUUGGUGGAAAGAAGUGUCCAGAUUGGAGAAACCUUAUGUCAACCAUUAUUGGUGAAAGUGAAACGGCUCUUUCCAAUGUUUUUUUUUGCAGCAAGUGAUUUAAAUGAUGCUGUUUAUGAUUCUCUGCUGAAUAUCAUGGAGAUGUAUGGGAAAAUGGAAUUGA